UACGUAGGGGCAAGCGUUGUCCGGAUUUAUUGGGCGUAAAGAGCGUGUAGGCGGCCAGGUAGGUCCGUUGUGAAAACUGGAGGCUUAACCUCCAGCUGUCGAUGGAAACCAUCUGGCUAGAGUCCGGAAGAGGAGAGUGGAAUUCCUGGUGUAGCGGUGAAAUGCGCAGAUAUCAGGAAGAACACCCGUGGCGAAGGCGGCUCUCUGGG
rnacentral:rRNA from 1 species